UUACCGCUCUAUAACCCUUUGUGAACGUACCUAACCGUUGCUUCGGCGGGCAGGGGMMMBCBCUCGCGGGCCUCCCCUCCCGGCGCCGGCCCCCACCACGGGGKKGGGGCGCCCGCCGGAGGAAACCAAACUCUAUUUACACGACGUCUCUUCUGAGUGGCACAAGCAAAUAAUUAAAACUUUUAACAACGGAUCUCUUGGUUCUGGCAUCGAUGAAGAACGCAGCGAAAUGCGAUAAGUAAUGUGAAUUGCAGAAUUCAGUGAAUCAUCGAAUCUUUGAACGCACAUUGCGCUCGCCAGCAUUCUGGCGAGCAUGCCUGUUCGAGCGUCAUUUCAACCCUCAAGCACCGCUUGGUUUUGGGGCCCCACGGCCGACGUGGGCCCUUAAAGGUAGUGGCGGACCCUCCCGGAGCCUCCUUUGCGUAGUAACUAACGUCUCGCACUGGGAUCCGGAGGGACUCUUGCCGUUAAACCCCCAAACUCUUUACAGGUUGACCUCGGAUCAGGUAGGAAUACCCGCUGAACUUAAGCAUAUCAAUAAGCGGAGGAA
rnacentral:misc_RNA from 1 species